UUGUGGAAGGGUAAAUUUACUAUACGUUGGUGAAAGUGAUCUUUAAUUUUACUUUAAGUUUAAAAUUUAUUACGACAGCUGCAGAAACAAUGGGAAACAACAGAAGUGUACAUGAAGAACCGUUGACACAAACACAGUACACACACCUGGACGAGAAGAGGAGGUAUCUGGCGAUGCUGAAGGAGAGAGAGGACCUGGUCUGGGAGCAGUCUCAAGAUGACGUCACUGACACCGAAUUCAUUGAAGUCACAG